AAAAUGACUCUCGGCAACGGAUAUCUCGGCUCUCGCAUCGAUGAAGAACGUAGCGAAAUGCGAUACUUGGUGUGAAUUGCAGAAUCCCGUGAACCAUCGAGUUUUUGAACGCAAGUUGCGCCCAAAGCCAUUAGGCUAAGGGCACGUCUGCCUGGGCGUCACGCAUCAUGUCGCCC
rnacentral:rRNA from 1 species